UACGGAGGAUGCGAGCGUUAUCCGGAUUUAUUGGGUUUAAAGGGUGCGUAGGCGGCGAGUUAAGUCAGCGGUAAAAGCCCGGGGCUCAACCCCGGCCCGCCGUUGAAACUGGCUGGCUUGAGUUGGCGAGAAGUACGCGGAAUGCGCGGUGUAGCGGUGAAAUGCAUAGAUAUAUGGAAGAACACCAGUGGCGAAAGCGGCUCUCUGGUCUGUAACUGACGCUGAGGUUCGAAAGCGUGGGUAGCAAACAGG
rnacentral:rRNA from 1 species